rnacentral:rRNA from 1 species
ACGCACGCUGGCGGCGUGCUUCACACAUGCAAGUCGCACGGAAAGGCCCUGCUUUUGUGGGGUGCUCGAGUGGCGAACGGGUGAGUAACACGUGAGUAACCUGCCCUUGACUUUGGGAUAACUUCAGGAAACUGGGGCUAAUACCGGAUAGGAGCUCCUGCUGCAUGGUGGGGGUUGGAAAGUUUCGGCGGUUGGGGAUGGACUCGCGGCUUAUCAGCUUGUUGGUGGGGUAGUGGCUUACCAAGGCUUUGACGGUAGCCGGCCUGAGAGGGUGACCGGCCACAUUGGGACUGAGAUACGGCCCAGACUCCUACGGGAGGCAGCAGUGGGGAAUAUUGCACAAUGGGCGGAAGCCUGAUGCAGCAACGCCGCGUGCGGGAUGACGGCCUUCGGGUUGUAAACCGCUUUCGCCUGUGACGAAGCGUGAGUGACGGUAAUGGGUAAAGAAGCACCGGCUAACUACGUG